GCUGCUUUGCUGACAGUGGCGGACGGGUGAGUAAUGUCUGGGAAACUGCCCGAUGGAGGGGGAUAACUACUGGAAACGGUAGCUAAUACCGCAUAACGUCGCAAGACCAAAGAGGGGGACCUUAGGGCCUCUUGCCAUCGGAUGUGCCCAGAUGGGAUUAGCUAGUAGGUGGGGUAAAGGCUCACCUAGGCGACGAUCCCUAGCUGGUCUGAAAGGAUGACCAGCCACACUGGAACUGAAACACGGUCCAGACUCCUACGGGAGGCAGCAGUGGGGAAUAUUGCACAAUGGGCGCAAGCCUGAUGCAGCCAUGCCGCGUGUAUGAAGAAGGCCUUCGGGUUGUAAAGUACUUUCAGCGGGGAGGAAGGGAGUAAAGUUAAUACCUUUGCUCAUUGACGUUACCCGCAGAAGAAGCACCGGCUAACUCCGUGCCAGCAGCCGCGGU
rnacentral:rRNA from 1 species